rnacentral:rRNA from 1 species
CCUACGGGUGGCAGCAGUGGGGAAUAUUGGACAAUGGGCGAAAGCCUGAUCCAGCCAUGCCGCGUGUGUGAAGAAGGCCUUCGGGUUGUAAAGCACUUUCAGUGGGGAAGAAAGCCUUGGGGCUAAUACCCUCGAGGAAGGACAUCACCCACAGAAGAAGCACCGGCUAACUCCGUGCCAGCAGCCGCGGUAAUACGGAGGGUGCGAGCGUUAAUCGGAAUUACUGGGCGUAAAGCGCGCGUAGGCGGUCUGAUAAGCCGGUUGUGAAAGCCCCGGGCUCAACCUGGGAACGGCAUCCGGAACUGUCAGGCUAGAGUGCAGGAGAGGAAGGUAGAAUUCCCGGUGUAGCGGUGAAAUGCGUAGAGAUCGGGAGGAAUACCAGUGGCGAAGGCGGCCUUCUGGACUGACACUGACGCUGAGGUGCGAAAGCGUGGGUAGCAAACAGGAUAGAUACCCCUGUAGUC